UACAGAGGUCUCAAGCGUUGUUCGGAUUCAUUGGGCGUAAAGGGUGCGUAGGCGGCGAAGCAAGUCUGAUGUGAAAUCCCGGGGCUCAACCCCGGAACUGCAUUGAAUACUGCUUUGCUAGAGUACUGGAGAGGAGACUGGAAUUUACGGUGUAGCAGUGAAAUGCGUAGAUAUCGUAAGGAAGACCAGUGGCGAAGGCGAGUCUCUGGACAGUUACUGACGCUGAGGCACGAAGGCCAGGGGAGCAAACGGG
rnacentral:rRNA from 1 species